rnacentral:tRNA from 1 species
GGGCAUGUGGUGUAGUUGGUUAUCACGCUCGCUUAGCAUCUCCCAAGCUUGCGAGAGGGGUCCGGUUCAAUCCCGGACAUGUCCA